GGGUUGUGAGGUUAAGCGACUAAGCGUACACGGUGGAUGCCCUGGCAGUCAGAGGCGAUGAAGGACGUGCUAAUCUGCGAUAAGCGUCGGUAAGGUGAUAUGAACCGUUAUAACCGGCGAUUUCCGAAUGGGGAAACCCAGUGUGUUUCGACACACUAUCAUUAACUGAAUCCAUAGGUUAAUGAGGCGAACCGGGGGAACUGAAACAUCUAAGUACCCCGAGGAAAAGAAAUCAACCGAGAUUCCCCCAGUAGCGGCGAGCGAACGGGGAGCAGCCCAGAGCCUGAAUCAGUGUGUGUGUUAGUGGAAGCGUCUGGAAAGGCGCGCGAUACAGGGUGACAGCCCCGUACACAAAAAUGCACAUACUGUGAGCUCGAUGAGUAGGGCGGGACACGUGGUAUCCUGUCUGAAUAUGGGGGGACCAUCCUCCAAGGCUAAAUACUCCUGACUGACCGAUAGUGAACCAGUACCGUGAGGGAAAGGCGAAAAGAACCCCGGCGAGGGGAGUGAAAAAGAACCUGAAACCGUGUACGUACAAGCAGUGGGAGCCUCUUUAUGGGGUGACUGCGUACCUUUUGUAUAAUGGGUCAGCGACUUAUAUUCUGUAGCAAGGUUAACCGAAUAGGGGAGCCGAAGGGAAACCGAGUCUUAACUGGGCGUUAAGUUGCAGGGUAUAGACCCGAAACCCGGUGAUCUAGCCAUGGGCAGGUUGAAGGUUGGGUAACACUAACUGGAGGACCGAACCGACUAAUGUUGAAAAAUUAGCGGAUGACUUGUGGCUGGGGGUGAAAGGCCAAUCAAACCGGGAGAUAGCUGGUUCUCCCCGAAAGCUAUUUAGGUAGCGCCUCGUGAAUUCAUCUCCGGGGGUAGAGCACUGUUUCGGCAAGGGGGUCAUCCCGACUUACCAACCCGAUGCAAACUGCGAAUACCGGAGAAUGUUAUCACGGGAGACACACGGCGGGUGCUAACGUCCGUCGUGAAGAGGGAAACAACCCAGACCGCCAGCUAAGGUCCCAAAGUCAUGGUUAAGUGGGAAACGAUGUGGGAAGGCCCAGACAGCCAGGAUGUUGGCUUAGAAGCAGCCAUCAUUUAAAGAAAGCGUAAUAGCUCACUGGUCGAGUCGGCCUGCGCGGAAGAUGUAACGGGGCUAAACCAUGCACCGAAGCUGCGGCAGCGACACUAUGUGUUGUUGGGUAGGGGAGCGUUCUGUAAGCCUGUGAAGGUGUGCUGUGAGGCAUGCUGGAGGUAUCAGAAGUGCGAAUGCUGACAUAAGUAACGAUAAAGCGGGUGAAAAGCCCGCUCGCCGGAAGACCAAGGGUUCCUGUCCAACGUUAAUCGGGGCAGGGUGAGUCGACCCCUAAGGCGAGGCCGAAAGGCGUAGUCGAUGGGAAACAGGUUAAUAUUCCUGUACUUGGUGUUACUGCGAAGGGGGGACGGAGAAGGCUAUGUUGGCCGGGCGACGGUUGUCCCGGUUUAAGCGUGUAGGCUGGUUUUCCAGGCAAAUCCGGAAAAUCAAGGCUGAGGCGUGAUGACGAGGCACUACGGUGCUGAAGCAACAAAUGCCCUGCUUCCAGGAAAAGCCUCUAAGCAUCAGGUAACAUCAAAUCGUACCCCAAACCGACACAGGUGGUCAGGUAGAGAAUACCAAGGCGCUUGAGAGAACUCGGGUGAAGGAACUAGGCAAAAUGGUGCCGUAACUUCGGGAGAAGGCACGCUGAUAUGUAGGUGAAGUCCCUCGCGGAUGGAGCUGAAAUCAGUCGAAGAUACCAGCUGGCUGCAACUGUUUAUUAAAAACACAGCACUGUGCAAACACGAAAGUGGACGUAUACGGUGUGACGCCUGCCCGGUGCCGGAAGGUUAAUUGAUGGGGUCAGCGCAAGCGAAGCUCUUGAUCGAAGCCCCGGUAAACGGCGGCCGUAACUAUAACGGUCCUAAGGUAGCGAAAUUCCUUGUCGGGUAAGUUCCGACCUGCACGAAUGGCGUAAUGAUGGCCAGGCUGUCUCCACCCGAGACUCAGUGAAAUUGAACUCGCUGUGAAGAUGCAGUGUACCCGCGGCAAGACGGAAAGACCCCGUGAACCUUUACUAUAGCUUGACACUGAACAUUGAGCCUUGAUGUGUAGGAUAGGUGGGAGGCUUAGAAGUGUGGACGCCAGUCUGCAUGGAGCCGACCUUGAAAUACCACCCUUUAAUGUUUGAUGUUCUAACGUUGACCCGUGAUCCGGGUUGCGGACAGUGUCUGGUGGGUAGUUUGACUGGGGCGGUCUCCUCCUAAAGAGUAACGGAGGAGCACGAAGGUUGGCUAAUCCUGGUCGGACAUCAGGAGGUUAGUGCAAUGGCAUAAGCCAGCUUGACUGCGAGCGUGACGGCGCGAGCAGGUGCGAAAGCAGGUCAUAGUGAUCCGGUGGUUCUGAAUGGAAGGGCCAUCGCUCAACGGAUAAAAGGUACUCCGGGGAUAACAGGCUGAUACCGCCCAAGAGUUCAUAUCGACGGCGGUGUUUGGCACCUCGAUGUCGGCUCAUCACAUCCUGGGGCUGAAGUAGGUCCCAAGGGUAUGGCUGUUCGCCAUUUAAAGUGGUACGCGAGCUGGGUUUAGAACGUCGUGAGACAGUUCGGUCCCUAUCUGCCGUGGGCGCUGGAGAACUGAGGGGGGCUGCUCCUAGUACGAGAGGACCGGAGUGGACGCAUCACUGGUGUUCGGGUUGUCAUGCCAAUGGCACUGCCCGGUAGCUAAAUGCGGAAGAGAUAAGUGCUGAAAGCAUCUAAGCACGAAACUUGCCCCGAGAUGAGUUCUCCCUGACUCCUUGAGAGUCCUGAAGGAACGUUGAAGACGACGACGUUGAUAGGCCGGGUGUGUAAGCGCAGCGAUGCGUUGAGCUAACCGGUACUAAUGAACCGUGAGGCUUAACCUUACAACGCCGAAG
rnacentral:rRNA from 1 species